rnacentral:tRNA from 1 species
UGCGGGAUGGCGCAGCCAGGAACAACGCGCACAGGUCCCAUGGUCCUGAGGUCCCGGGUUCAAAUCCCGGUCCCGCAUCCA